GCUUACGGCCAUACCACUCUGAAAAAGCCUGAUCUCAUCUGAACUCGGAAGCAAAGCAGAGUUGGGCCUGGUUAGUACUCGGUGGAGGACUGAAUGGAUACUAGGUGCUGUAAGCU
ensembl:rRNA 5S_rRNA 5S ribosomal RNA